rnacentral:rRNA from 1 species
UGGGGAAUAUUGCACAAUGGGCGCAAGCCUGAUGCAGCCAUGCCGCGUGUAUGAAGAAGGCCUUCGGGUUGUAAAGUACUUUCAGCGGGGAGGAAGGCGAUAAGGUUAAUAACCUUGUCGAUUGACGUUACCCGCAGAAGAAGCACCGGCUAACUCCGUGCCAGCAGCCGCGGUAAAACGGAGGGAGCAAGCGGUAAUCGGAAUUACUGGGCGUAAAGCGCACGCAGGCGGUCUGUCAAGUCGGAUGUGAAAUCCCCGGGCUCAACCUGGGAACUGCAUUCGAAACUGGCAGGCUAGAGUCUUGUAGAGGGGGGUAGAAUUCCAGGUGUAGCGGUGAAAUGCGUAGAGAUCUGGAGGAAUACCGGUGGCGAAGGCGGCCCCCUGGACAAAGACUGACGCUCAGGUGCGAAAGCGUGGGGAGCAAACA